rnacentral:rRNA from 1 species
GGUUAAGUGACUAAGCGUACAGGGCGGAUGCCUUGGCAAUCAGAGGCGAUGAAGGACGUGCUAAUCUGCGAAAAGCUUGGAUGAGUCGAUAAGAGGCGUUUAAUCCAAGAUAUCCGAAUGGGGAAACCCAGUAGAUGAAGAAUCUACUAUCAAUAAAUGAAUACAUAGUUUAUUGAGGCGAACCGGGAGAACUGAAACAUCUAAGUACCCCGAGGAAAAGAAAUCAACCGAGAUUCUGUGAGUAGCGGCGAGCGAAAGCGGAAGAGCCAGUAAGUUUUAGCUAGCGUAUUAGAGGAAUUGGCUGGGAAGCCAAAUCAAAGAGGGUGAUAAUCCCGUACUCGAAAGUAUGGUAGUGGAACUAAGCUUACGAUAAGUAAGGCGGGACACGAGAAAUCCUGUUUGAAGAUGGGGGGACCAUCCUCCAAGGCUAAAUACUCCUGAUUGACCGAUAGUGAACCAGUACUGUGAAGGAAAGGCGAAAAGAACCCCGGUGAGGGGAGUGAAAUAGAACCUGAAACCCUGUACGUACAAGCAGUAGGAGCGAGGGCAACCUUGUGACUGCGUACCUUUUGUAUAAUGGGUCAGCGACUUAUAUUUUGUAGAGGUUAACUGAAUAAGGGAGCCGAAGGGAAACCGAGUCUUAACUGGGCGUUGAGUUGCAAGGUAUAGACCCGAAACCCGGUGAUCUAGCCAUGGGCAGGUUGAAGGUUGGGUAACACUAACUGGAGGACCGAACCGACUAAUGUUGAAAAAUUAGCGGAUGACUUGUGGCUGGGGGUGAAAGGCCAAUCAAACCGGGAGAUAGCUGGUUCUCCCCGAAAUCUAUUUAGGUAGAGCCUUGAGCGGACACCUUCGGGGGUAGAGCACUGUUUCGGCUAGGGGUCCAUCCCGGAUUACCAACCCGAUGCAAACUGCGAAUACCGAAGAGUGAUACUCAGGAGACACACGGCGGGUGCUAACGUUCGUCGUGGAGAGGGAAACAACCCAGACCGCCAGCUAAGGUCCCCAAGUCUAUAUUAAGUGGGAAACGAAGUGGGAAGGCUUAGACAGCUAGGAUGUUGGCUUAGAAGCAGCCAUCAUUUAAAGAAAGCGUAAUAGCUCACUAGUCGAGUCGGCCUGCGCGGAAGAUGUAACGGGGCUCAAAUAUAGCACCGAAGCUGCGGCAUCAGAAUUUAUUCUGUUGGGUAGGGGAGCGUUGUGUAAGCGGAUGAAGGUGGCUCGAGAGGGUUGCUGGACGUAUCACAAGUGCGAAUGCUGACAUAAGUAACGAUAAAACGAGUGAAAAACUCGUUCGCCGGAAGACCAAGGGUUCCUGUCCAACGUUAAUCGGGGCAGGGUGAGUCGGCCCCUAAGGCGAGGCUGAAAAGCGUAGUCGAUGGGAAACGGGUUAAUAUUCCCGUACUUGGUAAAGCUGCGAUGUGGGGACGGAGAAGGUUAGGUAAGCGGACUGUUGGAUAUGUUCGUUUAAGCAGGUAGUUGGAAAGGGUAGGCAAAUCCGCUCUUUCAUACAACAACGAGACGUGAUGACGAGGCUCUACGGAGCUGAAGUUACCGAUACCCGGCUUCCAGGAAAAGCCACUAAGCGAAAGGCUUUACUAAACCGUACUGAAAACCGACACAGGUGGUCAGGUAGAGAAUACUCAGGCGCUUGAGAGAACUCGGGUGAAGGAACUAGGCAAAAUAGCACCGUAACUUCGGGAGAAGGUGCGCUUACAGUAAUUGUAGUCCCUUGCGGAUGAAGGUGAAGUAAGUCGAAGAUACCAGCUGGCUGCAACUGUUUAUUAAAAACACAGCACUCUGCAAACACGAAAGUGGACGUAUAGGGUGUGAUGCCUGCCCGGUGCUGGAAGGUUAAUUGAUGGUGUUAUCGAAAGAGAAGCUCCUGAUCGAAGCCCCAGUAAACGGCGGCCGUAACUAUAACGGUCCUAAGGUAGCGAAAUUCCUUGUCGGGUAAGUUCCGACCUGCACGAAUGGCAUAAUGAUGGCCAGGCUGUCUCCACCCGAGACUCAGUGAAAUUGAAAUCGCCGUGAAGAUGCGGUGUACCCGCGGCUAGACGGAAAGACCCCGUGAACCUUUACUAUAGCUUGACACUGAACAUUGAAUUUUGAUGUGUAGGAUAGGUGGGAGCCUUUGAAGCAGUGACGCCAGUCAUUGUGGAGGCGACCUUGAAAUACCACCCUUUAACGUUUGAUGUUCUAACGAAGUGCCUGAAACGGGUACUCGGACAGUGUCUGGUGGGUAGUUUGACUGGGGCGGUCUCCUCCCAAAGCGUAACGGAGGAGCACGAAGGUUUGCUAAUGACGGUCGGACAUCGUCAGGUUAGUGCAAUGGUAUAAGCAAGCUUAACUGCGAGACAGACAAGUCGAGCAGGUGCGAAAGCAGGUCAUAGUGAUCCGGUGGUUCUGAAUGGAAGGGCCAUCGCUCAACGGAUAAAAGGUACUCCGGGGAUAACAGGCUGAUACCGCCCAAGAGUUCAUAUCGACGGCGGUGUUUGGCACCUCGAUGUCGGCUCAUCACAUCCUGGGGCUGAAGUAGGUCCCAAGGGUAUGGCUGUUCGCCAUUUAAAGUGGUACGCGAGCUGGGUUUAGAACGUCGUGAGACAGUUCGGUCCCUAUCUGCCGUGGGCGUUGGAUGAUUGAUUGGGGCUGCUCCUAGUACGAGAGGACCGGAGUGGACGCAUCACUGGUGUUCCAGUUGUCUCGCCAGAGGCAUUGCUGGGUAGCUAAAUGCGGAAGAGAUAAGUGCUGAAAGCAUCUAAGCACGAAACUUGCCAAGAGAUGAGUCAUCCCUGACUUUAAGUCAGUAAGGGUUGUUGUAGACUACGACGUAGAUAGGUUGGGUGUGUAAGUGUAGUGAUACAUUGAGCUAACCAAUACUAAUUGCCCGAGAGGCUUAACCAU